GCUAAAACGCCGCCCUAAAGAAACCUAAAUAGUUUCCAAAAACAAAAAAGAAAACCCCGAACGGCAGACCAACUUAAAAGCCAGCCAUUUCAACGAUCGAAGCUCUUUUCAAAUCCAUUCAAAUCCCAGCAGUUCCUGUUCUCCUGACUGGUCGAUUGUUUUGUCAAAAACUUGUGACAGAAUCAGAGGCACCUCUCCUAAUAGUCUAAAACUUCUUAAAACGCCGAUGUCUUCUUCAAUCGACUUUAUUCUGAGAUUCAUUUACUCUGUCAAACCAUGCAGUCUUUACCCCACCACUUAUUCUCUCGGCAAUAUCCAUCGGCAAUCUUCUUCCGCCUCCAUCGCAGCUGACCGAGGAAAUUCAUUUGGCAGAUAAGUACCCCCUAUUGUUUUUAACCCAUCCACUGCUAAUACAUGCGCCACCUUGUGUGUCAAUCUUGAGGUAUGUCUAAACAGGCAUGUUUCGUAGCCAAAACUUAGCACUUGUGCACUUAAUACAUAGGCAUUGAUUUAUGAUUUAUCUAUAUUUCUUGAUUUCACCUUCUUUAUGCCUGAUAAUGCAUCACCUACAAUUUCAGCCCUCACCACUCCUAGAUCCGCCCUAAUUGAACCGCCUGGACACAAGUAAUCGCCUCUGCUGCAAACCCAAUUGGUAUGUGCUCAUUUAGGCGCAUGGUAAAAUUUAGAACCCUCCCACUUGAGUCUCUGACCACUAUCCCCGAGCAUGAACUUAUACUUUGUUUGUGAAAUGCAACAUCGAAGUUUAUAUUUACAAAUGACUACUCUGACGGUCUCCAACGUUCUCCCUCUGUUCUUCGUCUAGGUAACCUGUUAUUAAGUUCCUCUAAUUCUUGUACGUAAUUUGUGAUAAAGCAAUCAAUUUUUGAUUCGUUUUAAAGAAUCCCCUCAUCAAGUUAUUUGUUUCUUGUUGUCUACAAAGCCUAGAAUGAACAAGCUAUUUUUCGACAUUGUUGUAUUGAGGCAUUAUUGUAAAGGUAUAACAUCCAGUCUCUAAACUGCCCUUCAUUUAGUUCCCAUCGCCAAGUAAUACCUAACUUUCUCCAGGUUUCCUUUGCAUUUAUACAGUCCCGGAAAGCAUGUUUAGCAUUUUCCACUUCGCCUAUACAUUUAUGACAAUUUGCAAACCCCACUAGCCUCCUUUGGUACAAGUUAUAUUGAGUAGGCAGAUAGUUGUUAAAAAUUAUCCAAUUCAUGAUUUUUAUUUUAGACGGUAGAUCCAAGAGCCAUAAUUUUUUGUAAAAAUUUUUGUAAACAUGUUGUUCGUUGUUGAGAGUAGUCGAGAGUGUUUCUUGUAAUAGAAUUUUAUACCUGCUUCUUACUGAGUAUUCGCCAAAAGUCUCGCCUCGUCAUACUAGCCUGUCCUCUUAUGGCGUGCAUAGUAGAGGAAUACACAAGAUAUUGUCAGCCUCUUCUUCAUUGAAGGUAGCUUUAAUUAGCCUUUCCUUCCUUCCAACAAUUAGUGGCUUAAUCAAUUAAAUCCAACACAUAACAAAUAUGCUGAUUAUUUUCUCGUUGUUGGACUUUGAAAUCAAUAGCACCCAGCUCCCACUUAUUUUCCCAAAUUAAGACUUGUUUUCCUGAUCCGAUUUGCCAACACAAACCCUUCUUUAGUAGACCUUUCGUCAUUCACACGCUUUUCGAGGCAUAAGAAGGUAAAUUGCCUGACCUAACAUUCAAAAAAAUUUGAUUCUGGAUAAUAUUUAGCCUUUAAUGAUCUUGCCAGUAAAGAAUUUGGGUAACAAAUUAGACGCCAACCUUGUUUCGCUAAGAAUUGAAUUUUGAUAAGCAACGAAAACAUAAACCCCCAUCUUCUUCCAUAUUGCACAAUUUCCUCCACUCACACUUCCUCGCUUGCCAUGCCUUUUUUGUCACGGAAUUUUUCCAAUAAUAUUAUCUAAUUCAUUGCAAAUCGAAUUUGGUAGUAAGAAACAAGCCAUUGAAUACGUCAGAAUUGCUUGAAGUACUGAUUUUAUACAGACUUAUUUCCCUUCUUGUGAAAGAUGUUUUACGCUUCAUUCAUUAACCCUACUUAUCAUUCAAUCUUUCUGGAUUUGGAAAGUCCUUUACUUGUUCUUGCCCACCAUAUUAGGCAAACCCAAAUAUCUCUCUAGGUCUCUCGAAAUUCUAACAUUGAAGAUAGAUGACACCACUUCCCUCUUUUGCUCCGAAACAUUUGAGCUAAAGUAAGCAAGUGAUUUUUUGAAAUUUAUGCAUUGUCCCCAAUAACUUUCAUAUUCCCGCAAAAUAUUCUUUAUUAUAUGUGCCCCCUCCUUGUCGCAUCACCAAAUAAAAUACAAUCAUCAGCAAACAAUAGGUGAGAGAUAAAAGGUUUUCUACGACUUACCCUUGCUCCCUUUAUUGCUCAUUCUUGAAUAGCUAAUCUCAUAAGAGAGAAAAGUCAUUCACUGCAAAUUAAAAAUAAAUACGGGCUCAACAGAUCACCUUGAUGUAAGCCCCGUCUUGGUUUGAAACUUUCCCAUCCUCUCCAUUAAGGCAUAUCGAAUAUGAGACCGAGCUAAUACAGUGUAUUAUAAGAUCCACACAUGACUUAUUGAAUCUCAUUUUUCACAUCAUUUGCUCUAGGAAGACCCACUCCACCCUAUCAUAUGCUUUACUCAUAUCAAGUUUUAGUGUCAAACUUCAUUUCCCUCCCACUCUUUUCUGUUUGAAAGUAUGCAUAAGUUCACAGGCAAUGAGAAUAUUAUCAGAAAUCAAUCUUCCCAGAACGAAAGCACUUUGGGCUUUAUCAAUACAUACCUCCAGAACUUUUGAAGAUGAUUUGCAACCGCCGUUGAUAUUACUUUGUACAAAACUAUGCACAAACUGAUUGGCCUAAAAUUCUUGAGGUUUGUUGGGUGGGAUAUUUUUGGCAUUAGCACAAUACUUAUCAUAUUUAGGGCCUCUACUGAAUUUCCAUGGUUCAAGAUAUCAAGGCAGAACUUUCCUACCUCAUCUACUAAAAUAUGCCAAAACCUUUAGAAAAAUAAAGUAGGGAAACUGUCCAUUACUAAUGCUGGCUUUCGUUGGCUCUAUACCUUUCAAGGCAAGAACAAGCUCCACUAUAGUGUAAUUUGCAAUUAAAGCCUGAUUCAUGCUUUCAGAGAUACACCUUCCAACUCUUGAAAGAAUAUGGUCAAGAUUACUAACCCCUUGUGAUGAAAAAAUAUUUUCAAAACACCUUUUUUGUAGAUUUAACCAUCUCCUUUGGAUUCGUUACCAAUUGACCAUUAUCACUCUCCAGUCCAUCAACACGAUUCAUUCAUUUCCGCUGAGAAGCAAAAUUAUAGAAGAAAAUUGUAUUUCUGUUCCCCAUUUUUAAUCAAUUCGCCCUUUCUCGUUACUCCCAAAACCUCUCCUCCUUGUUAAUUUCCAUAUUCAUUUGUAGCUUUACCUCAAACAAUUUUGCCAUGUUCUCAUCAUUUCUUUCCAAUCUGUCAAGUUCUUCCAAUCGUCUCAUUAAUUUUUUUGACAAACUAGCUCUUUUCUUCUUUAUCCCUUCUGCUCACCUUUGUAAACCAACUCCUAUAGCAUAAAGUCUAUCAACCACUCUACUUGAACUGCAUGUCCAUAGUUGCUUCACUUCCUCUUCACAUGAGUCCUCCAUGACCCACUAUGCCUCAAAACGGAACCUUUUCUUUAUUUUCCUCGUAUGAUCUUGUUUUGUCUGAAUAAACAGUAGGCAAUGAUCAAAAAAAGAAUGUGGCAAGUGUCUAACAGAAAAAUUUGAAAAUAGUGUCAACCAUUCAGUAUUUGCAUCUCCUUUAUCAAGCCUUUCUUUAAUGUUUGUCUCUGGCAAAUUUCCCUUCUCCCAAGUAAACCAAUGACCUGAAAAACUCAUAUCCUUUAAACGAAAUUCCUCUAACACCUUCUGAAAUUCCUUCAUACGUCCCUAUUCUCUUGGUAAGCCUUUUCCUUCACAAACGAGUACAAGAUUUCGUUGAAAUUGUCGCAAAUCAUCCAUGAAAAAUCUUGAUUACUCUCUAACAUUUUUAACAAGUUCCAAACCCUCGCCCUUUCAAGAAAAAUGUGUAACCUUUACAAUUUUAUCUUUUUUGCAUGGAACAUUUCCUUUUGUUUUUAUGGCUUAACCAAAAUUCUUUAAGCUUUUGUGGCUCAACUAGAAAUAUUUUACAAUCUACUUAAGAUUUUAUACCUCAAAAGUCUUAAGUAUGCUCUUUACAACAAAGAGAAUAUGAACAAACUAACAAUAAAUUUCUAGUAGGCGUGUGUUUGCAAAUAAAAACCCUAAAUAUAAAGAUUUGAGAGUGAGAAAAGAUAUGUACAAGAGAAAAUGAAGAAAAUAAAGAAUUGAAGGCUUUUCUUUAGUAUCUUGAAGAGUUCUUUAUGUGUAUAUAUAAUAAGGGAAAAAUUUAUUAUCGUUUAUAGUCGUUGGGGAUAGAGGUGUUCAAAUGAAUAACCGAACCAAAUUACCAUGGACCAAAAUGUAAAAAUCUUUAACUGUUAACCAAACCGAAGUUUUUUUUAAAUAUAUUAAUCGAAAUGAAAUAUCUUGGUUAUUUCGGUCAGUUAACCAAACACUAGAUGAAAAAGUAGAGAGAAAAGCAACAAAUUAAAGACUAAUCGCAACAUCAAUGGCAACCGAAAAAGAAGAAAAGGAACCCAGAAUUGGAUCAUGACUAUAAUAAGACAAUGUCCAAACAAAAAUUUAACGAAAUCCAUAGAUAGACACACACUAGCUCUUUUAAAAUAAUAAAUAAGUAUAAAAAUCAAACCAAAGCAAGAGAAUAAAAGAAAAAACCCCACAAAUCAAAGAAAAUCAAACCUAUAAAUUAAAAAAGCCAAAUGAAACGCAAGGCUUAGACAGAAAGAUCUUUGUAUUUGGUUCUAAACUAAUGGAUUUGGAUGGAUUAGGCUUUUUUUUUUCUAACGAGGGUUAAGGGUUUUUUGAUUUCGUAUUUUAAGGUUAAAAACGAUGGAGAGGAAGCAUGAUUUUGAACGAGGGUGAUUUGGGAGAUUUUGGAACUCUCUCCUCGGAUGGUGGUGACUGGUGAGCAUGCCGGGCUGUCGGUAGUUGGCAUUAGAAAUUUUUUUAUUUUGGGACAUUUCAAAUUAGGGCUUGUAUAUUUAGGAAUUAGGGGUAUUCGACGUUUUGUUUUUAGUUUUUAUGGAUUUUAUGUAAUGUAAGUUAAUUUUAUAAUUAAAUUAAUUAUUAAGUUGACUUGGGUUGGGUCUAUAAA